AUUUCACCCGGGGUGGGAGGGGGAGGGCUGCCUCCCUAAGCCUGGCCUCAGCACAGGUUUGCAGAUUUUCUCCAAUUGGCUGCCUGGGGAGAACGCGUUCAGCCCGGAGAGCCUCAGGAAUGGGACUCUAAUCAGACCCAGGUGGUCAAUGAAAGGAGAAGCAACAAAUACAAGCUAGUCGGGACAGAGAGAAAAGGAGGGCAGAAAACACCCAGAGAGGAGGAGACGAGACCCCCUUCAGACCCCUCAGGCUGCGAGAAGACACCGGCUCAGCCUAGAGCUCCCUCUCUGGAGGCAGAAACGUGAGGCACCCACAGGGCAGAAGAGGAGUAAGAAACUUAUUAACAUGAGCACAUUAUUCGUAGCAGUGACUGAGAACCAAAUUCCUGGCAAAGCUUGAACAACUGUGGCAAAAACCUGCCCGGAGUGCUUCCUGCCUUCUCACUGAGAUUCAGAAUAAACACUUCCUGAAGCCUUGUCGUCACCACACAAUGUGUAGGAGCUUCUAUAUACAGUGGAUUCUCAUUAGUCCCAGUAGUUAUGUUCUAUACAGUCACUGCAAACACUCACUGAGCUAGCAAAUACCGAACCGUUGUUUCUGGGGGAAUUGCAGGGUUAAGUUCCUGAGAGCCCCUGGUUACAUUUUCAUCAACCCAUCAAUACACAACCUCCUUUUAUGUA